rnacentral:rRNA from 1 species
UAGGGAAUCUUCCACAAUGGGCGCAAGCCUGAUGGAGCAACACCGCGUGAGUGAAGGAGGGUUUCGGCUCGUAAAGCUCUGUUGUUAAAGAAGAACACGUAUGAGAGUAACUGUUCAUACGUUGACGGUAUUUAACCAGAAAGUCACGGCUAACUACGUGCCAG